UACGUAGGUGGCAAGCGUUAUCCGGAAUUAUUGGGCGUAAAGCGCGCGCAGGUGGUUUCUUAAGUCUGAUGUGAAAGCCCACGGCUCAACCGUGGAGGGUCAUUGGAAACUGGGAGACUUGAGUGCAGAAGAGGAAAGUGGAAUUCCAUGUGUAGCGGUGAAAUGCGUAGAGAUCGGGCGGAACACCAGCGGCGAAGGCGGCAUCCUGGCCCUAUCCUGACGCUGGAGGCGCGAGAGCGUGGGGAGCAAACCGG
rnacentral:rRNA from 1 species